GCAAAUCAAUCGUCUGACUUCUUGGGGUAUAAUAGGGAGGGGCGAAAGACUAAUCGAACCAUCUAGAAGCUGGUUCCCUCCGAAGUUUCCCUCAGGAUAGCUGGAGCCCAUUACGAGUUCUAUCAGGUAAAGCCAAUGAUUAGAGGCAUUGGGGACGCAACGUCCUCGACCUAUUCUCAAACUUUAAAUAGGUAGGAUGGCUCGGCUG
rnacentral:ncRNA from 1 species